GUAACAUAUGUGCGAGUCUAAGAGUUCUAAACUCCAAGGCGAAGUGAAAGCAUGAUGGUUUGAAGAGGUAACUCUGCAAAAAUCGUUCAACCUGGAUAGUAAUUGAAAGGAUUGAAAAAUAGCAUUUAUGUUACGACCCGAAAGAUGGUGAACUAUACUUGGGAAGGACGAAGUCAGAGGAAACUCUGAUGGAGGUUCGAAGGGGUUCUGACGUGCAAAUCGAUCUUCAUACCUGAGUAUAGGGGCGAAAGACUAAUCGAACCAUCAAGUAGCUGGUUCCCUCCGAAGUUUCCCCCAGGAUAGCUGGAACUCAUUUCUGAUUAGUUUUAUCAGGUAAAGCGAAUGAUUAGAAGUUUUGGGGAUGAAACAUCCUCGGCUUAUUCUCAAACUUUAAAUAGGUAAGAUUAUUCAUUUACUUUAGUGUAAUUGAAUAAUUGAAUAAAGAGUUCUUAGUGGGCCAUUUUUGGUAAGUCAGAACUGGCGAUGUGGGAUGAACCAGACGUUGAGAUAAAGUGCCAAAGAUAUCGCUCAUCAGAC
rnacentral:rRNA from 1 species